GACGAACGCUGGCGGCGUGCUUAACACAUGCAAGUCGAACGGUAAGGCCCUUCGGGGUACACGAGUGGCGAACGGGUGAGUAACACGUGGGUGAUCUGCCCUGCACUUCGGGAUAAGCCUGGGAAACUGGGUCUAAUACCGGAUAGGACAACUGCCUGCAUGGGUGGUGGUGGAAAGCUUUUGCGGUGUGGGAUGGGCCCGCGGCCUAUCAGCUUGUUGGUGGGGUGAUGGCCUACCAAGGCGACGACGGGUAGCCGGCCUGAGAGGGUGACCGGCCACACUGGGCCUGAGAUACGGCCCAGACUGCGACGGGGGGCAGCAGUGGGGAAUAUUGCACAAUGGGCGCAAGCCUGAUGCAGCGACGCCGCGUGAGGGAUGACGGCCUUCGGGUUGUAAACCUCUUUCAGCACCGACGAAGCGCAAGUGACGGUAGGUGCAGAAGAAGGACCGGCCAACUACGUGCCAGCAGCCGCGGUAA
rnacentral:rRNA from 1 species